rnacentral:rRNA from 1 species
AGGACUGGACAGGAUCGUGAGCGCCGCGAAAGCGGCGGGCCCUUCGGGGAGCGGUCUC